rnacentral:rRNA from 1 species
CACGUAGGGCGCAAGCGUUGUCCGGAAUUAUUGGGCGUAAAGAGCUCGUAGGCGGUUUGUCGCGUCUGCCGUGAAAGUCCGGGGCUCAACUCCGGAUCUGCGGUGGGUACGGGCAGACUAGAGUGAUGUAGGGGAGACUGGAAUUCCUGGUGUAGCGGUGAAAUGCGCAGAUAUCAGGAAGAACACCCGUGGCGAAAGCGGCUCUCUAGAACGGUACUGACGCUGAGACGCGAAAGCGUGGGGAGCGAACAGG